AGAGUUUGAUCAUGGCUCAGAAUGAACGCUGGCGGCAUGCCUAACACAUGCAAGUCGAACGAGAUCUUCGGAUCUAGUGGCGCACGGGUGAGUAACGCGUGGGAACCUACCUUUUAGUACGGGACAACGUUUGGAAACGAACGCUAAUACCGUAUACGCCCUCCGGGGGAAAGGUCAGCCGCUAAAAGAGGGGCCCGCGUCUGAUUAGCUUGUUGGUAAGGUAAUGGCUUACCAAGGCGACGAUCAGUAGCUGGUCUGAGAGGAUGAUCAGCCACACUGGGACUGAGACACGGCCCAGACUCCUACGGGAGGCAGCAGUGGGGAAUAUUGGACAAUGGAGGCAACUCUGAUCCAGCAAUGCCGCGUGUGUGAUGAAGGCCCUAGGGUUGUAAAGCACUUUCAACGGUGAAGAUGAUGACGGUAGCCG
rnacentral:rRNA from 1 species